GUCCAGACUCCUACGGGAGGCAGCAGUGGGGAAUAUUGCACAAUGGGGGAAACCCUGAUGCAGCGACGCCGCGUGAGCGAUGAAGUAUUUCGGUAUGUAAAGCUCUAUCAGCAGGGAAGAAGAUGACGGUACCUGACUAAGAAGCCCCGGCUAACUACGUGCCAGCAGCCGCGGUAAUACGUAGGGGGCAAGCGUUAUCCGGAUUUACUGGGUGUAAAGGGAGCGUAGACGGCGAUGCAAGCCAGAUGUGAAAGCCCGGGGCUCAACCCCGGGACUGCAUUUGGAACUGUGUGGCUGGAGUGUCGGAGAGGCAGGCGGAAUUCCUAGUGUAGCGGUGAAAUGCGUAGAUAUUAGGAGGAACACCAGUGGCGAAGGCGGCCUGCUGGACGAUGACUGACGUUGAGGCUCGAAAGCGUGGGGAGCAAACAGGAUUAGAUACCCCGGUAAUA
rnacentral:rRNA from 1 species